AUUGCACGCUGGCGGCAGGCCUACCCCAUGCACGUCGAACGAGUGGCGGACGGGUGAGUAAUGUCUGGGAAACUGCCUGAUGGAGGGGGAUAACUCCUGGAAACGGUAGCUAAUACCGCAUACCAUCGGAUGUGCCCAGAUGGGAUUAGCUAGUAGGUGGGGUAACCGCUCACCUAGGCGACGAUCCCUAGCUGGUCUGAGAGGAUGACCAGCCUCACGGUAACUGAGACACGGUCCAGACUCCGACGGGAGUCAGAAGUGGGGAAUAUUGCACAAUGGGCGCAAGCCUGAUGCAGCCAUGCCGCGUGUAUGAAGAAGGCCUUCGGGUUGUAAAGUACUUUCAGCGGUGAGGCGUUACCCGCAGAAGAAGCACCGGCGAAAAAAGUGCCAGCAGCCGCGGUAAUAC
rnacentral:rRNA from 1 species